ensembl:lncRNA
CUCGUCUUCAGCAGGACCGACCUCAGAGCAGCAUGCGCUAAAUUAUAAAGUGAUGAAUAGCGUGUGAGCAUGAGGACCAUGAGGACCAUGAGGACCAUGAGGACCAUGAGGAGCUGCGUGUUACACUUACUGUUCCUGCUGCUGCUCUCCUGCAAAACCAGCUUCAGCAGCUUCACUGUCCAGGAGACGUCAGCGACGUGUUUGUCGGUCUGUUCGGGCGCAGAGAUGUCGACUCGGGUGAGUCGGAUAUCGCUAAAGGUAAACAAUAACGAUGGAGAUCGAAAACAAACCGACGAUCUGAAAAAGUUCCUCUAAAGUUCCUGCCGUGUUUUUCCAGGCCUCGCUGCGUGGAGACGAGAGAGACGGGGCGGAGUCUUCUCAAACAACCGAAGACUCAGAUAUCGUCGUCCCACCUGAAGCGCCGCCUUAACGACGACGUGGAAUUCGAGAGCGACGGUUCUGAUCUCUCCGCCUGGAGUUUACGUUUUUUAUUUUUCACGUGAAG